rnacentral:lncRNA from 1 species
UGAGAACUAAAUGAGACAUGUGAGAAAAGCUCUCAGGACACUGCCUGCUGCACGGCAGGUGCUAUGUGUGGUGCUGUUAUCAGUCUCACGCUACCACACAGCCGCAGAGGCAACGUUGAGGGAGAAGCCCAUGAUCCAGACCUAGCAGUUUGCCCGGGACGUUUAAAACACUUGCAAGAGGAGACCAUUCCUGAAGUUGGCUGCAAACCCCCUGCUUCAUCUGUUACCAGGUUUAACCCCUCAAUAGCCGAAUCGCUGGAUGAAGUGUCAUCACUUACAACUGUAACAGAGUGGUCAAAGAGAGUGAUGUUUUCUUUAGUCUGAGCUGGGAUUGGAGGGAGAAAAGAGCUUUAAGAAAAACGAUUCCAGAGAUCAGCUAAAGGAAUUGGUGUCUUUGAGAAUCCUAUGCCUUGCUUCCAGGUAAAAUAAGCUUUCUCCACGCUGAGGUCAGAGGGACACCACCCCUGCAGCCACAUCUCCAAAGCAUUUCUUUCCUCAAGGGCCUAAGGAAUAGAAGAGAUCUGAUUCCUAACUGAAAUGGGGUAGCAGCAGAGAGGUUGCUAGAAUCUCUAGGCACAGGGUAACCAUCCAUCCAAGAUUGCUUGGUUUAUGCCUGUUGUCCCUUUUCUCUCCCCAAAGUGUCCUAGUUUGGAAAAUAAAUUAUACGAUCCCUCUGCCUGUACCCAAUCAAAACAUCAGGCAAUUUUAAAAAGCACAAGUUUUGGAGUCACCUUCCCCCAUUUAUCUCCUUCCUCCCUCCCUCCAUCCCCCUACUCCGCCCUGCCCUGUAAAUACCCCCACCUCUGCGUCACUUUAACCACCGGAGGCCGAUGGACACGCUAUGACCACAGCUACUCCUGUCACUGGGAAUGGUUUACACGACUGCACUGGUGUAACAGGGCCAUGCUCUCCCUGCUAUCUUUUCAAUUGUGAAAAUAAUCAAUCAAGAAUGAGGGGCAGCUCCCUAAUCUGAGUUGCUAAUUUUAAGAAUUGUAAAUAGAUUAGACAACGCUUCUCCCCUCCUCCCUCACCAAUUUACAUGC